AUAAGGAUACGGAUAGGGUUAGGGGAUAAGGAUAGGGGAUAGGGCUAGGGGAUAAGGAUAGGGUUAGGGGAUAAGGAUAGGGCUAGGGGAUAUGGAUAGGGGGUAGGGCUAGUGGAUAUGGAUAGGGGAUAGGGCUAGGGGAUAUGGAUAGGGGAUAGGGCUAGGAGGUAGGGCUAGGGGGUAGGGCUAGGGAGAUCAGAGAGUAUGAUCGGAGAUCAGAGAGUAUGUCCCCAAAGGCACCUUAUUCCCCAUAUAGGGCACUACUUUUGAUUAGUGGUGCACUAUAUAGGGAAUAGGGUUCUGGUCUAAAGUAGUGCACUAUAUAGGGAAUGGGGUUCUAUAGGGCUCUGGUCUAAAGUAGUGCACUAUAUAGGGAAUAGGGUGCCAUUUGGAAGGCAGACAGACAGGAAAGACAAAAGGCCUAUUGUAUGUGAUCUUACCUGUUAUUUUAUUCAUGUUUAUUCUUCAAACAUUCCCACUGCCAACUCAUCUCGUAUGAUAAUAUCAUUGUUAUUACAAAUGCUUGUUAUUAUUGUGUUUUUGUUAUUGUUGUUUUGUUAUUGUUUACCCUCGUGUUGUAUGAUUUUCCUUGUCUUUACGGUUUUAAUCUUGAACACGCUGAACAAUGAAGUCAUUUUCAUUCAGUUUUGGAUCAGCUGUGAAUUUGUCCUGACUGUGCGAUCUGGUCGGUUUGGUUGAACAUGUGUGUGUGUGUGUGUGUACCAACUGUGUGUGUGUCUGGUUUGACUGUGAAGUAAUGCUGUAGUUAGUACUGACUUAGUCAUAGCUUAAUUAGUUAGUUAGUUAGUUAGUUAGUGUGACACCUUGCGAUGUUAUUUCUCUUUGAUGUCAGUCCCGCUCUCUCUCCUUUCUCUUCUUCUAUCUAUCACACGCCUCCGUCAUCUGUCCGUCUGCGUCAUGUGUAUCUCAGGGGGGCGAGGAGGAUCUGUCGUAACACCAAAAAUACAAUUAUAAAAGCACAAAUAAAGAUUAGGCACAAAAUCACAGAAAAACCCUUCCUAUCACUGCUGCACUAGACAACACAGCCAAUGGGGUUCCACAGAAAAACCCUUCCUAUCACUGCUGCACUAGACAACACAGCCAAUGGGGUUCCACUGAAAGGACCUCACUGUUGGAACAGUAGAAUUGAAAUGAGAACACCUUGUUCUAGUUGUUAGAGGAUCACAACGUUAUAUAGCUACCAAGUCCCUGUACUGUUGGGACUUGGUAUAAGGUAUACCACCUUGCUACAUCGUCUAAAGAACAUGUCCCUGUGGUGUAUACCACCUUGCUACAUCGUCUAAAGAACAUGUCCCUGUGGUGUAUACCACCUUGCUACAUCGUCUAAAGAACAUGUCCCUGUGGUGUAUACCACCUUGCUACAUCGUCUAAAGAACAUGUCCCUGUGGUGUAUACCACCUUGCUACAUCGUCUAAAGAACAUGACCCUGUGGUGUAUACCACCUUGCUACAUCGUCUAAAGAACAUGUUGAAUCCGAGAAUUUAAUUUAUAUAAAUAUUAUGACAUAUAUGGUGAUAGAUUUUAGCUAUCCGAGAAAACGUCUGUAAAUGAACACAACAACAACAACAACAACAACAGAAUAUUUGACAACCGCUCAGUCAAAACAUAGGAAACACAAAUACACAGCAGUUAAGACACCUGGACACCUGCUUCUGGUCAAAACUAGUGCACUACAUAGGGAUUAGGGUGCCAGACUGGUCAAAACUAGUGCACUACAUAGGGAUUAGGGUGCCAGACUUGUCAAAACUAGUGCACUACAUAGGGAUUAGGGUGCCAGACUGGUCAAAACUAGUAGUCAUCUCUAUAGGGACCUGUGAGAUCUCUAGUGAUCUCUGUUCUCUUUAUUCCUCCAAGAGGAACUGUUGUUGUGCAUUUAAGAUGCCACUCUAGCCUGAUCCCAGAUCUGUUUCUGAUCUCUGGACAACUCCAGUGAUGUCAUUGUUAUGACAAUUCCAUAGGAGUUGUCAAGAGAACAGAAACAGGCACCCAGGCUAAACACACCUUCCACUCUCUCCUUCUCCUUGACUAACUUGUGUGGUGAAUUAUGAUAUGUAUGAAAUUACAAUUGUCUGCACACAUGACAUGUAAAUUACUAUGAAAAGAAAGCGUCUGCUAAAUGUCAUAUAUUAUUGUCUUAGUCAUUGUUUACAAUGAGAUGUUGUAUUUCCAGUUUCCUUCACCAUUUACUGUUCUAAUAAAGUCACAUGACCGUCUUCACCUGGUAUGUCUGUUCUAAUAAAGUCACAUGACCGUCUUCACCUGGUAUGUCUGUUCUAAUAAAGUCACAUGACCGUCUUCACCUGGUAUGUCUGUUCUAAUAAAGUC
ensembl:lncRNA